rnacentral:rRNA from 1 species
GACGAACGCUGGCGGCGCGCCUAACACAUGCAAGUCGAACGAGCGAGAGAGAGCUUGCUUUCUCGAGCGAGUGGCGAACGGGUGAGUAACGCGUGAGGAACCUGCCUCAAAGAGGGGGACAACAGUUGGAAACGACUGCUAAUACCGCAUAAGCCCACGACCCGGCAUCGGGUAGAGGGAAAAGGAGCAAUCCGCUUUGAGAUGGCCUCGCGUCCGAUUAGCUAGUUGGUGAGGUAACGGCCCACCAAGGCGACGAUCGGUAGCCGGACUGAGAGGUUGAACGGCCACAUUGGGACUGGGACACGGCCCAGACUCCUACGGGAGGCAGCAGUGGGGAAUAUUGCACAAUGGGGGAAACCCUGAUGCAGCGACGCCGCGUGGAGGAAGAAGGUCUUCGGAUUAUAAACUCCUGUUGUGGAGGAAGAUAAUGACGGUACUCAACAAGGAAGUGACGGCUAACUACGUG